AACGCACAUUGCGCCCGCUAGCUCUCUAGCGGGCAUGCCUGUUCGAGCGUCAUUUCAACCCCCUCGGGCCCCCCUUCUUAACGGAGGGGUGGCCCGGCGUUGGGGCGCCACGGGGGGGUUAGGCAUCGCGCCGCAAGGCCGGCGCCGCCCCCGUGUGCCCUGAAAUCCAGUGGCGGGCCCGUCGAGACCCCGAGCGUAGUAGCUAUAAGAAACCUCGCUCCAGGGCUGUCCGGCGGGUGCAACCAGCCUCUAAACCCACCUAUAUAUACUCCAAAGGUUGACCUCGGAUCAGGUAGGAAUACCCGCUGAACUUAA
rnacentral:misc_RNA from 1 species